CUAGGAAGAAAACCCUAGGUGUGGCCAAAGAACAUGGUCAGUUCCAAUUCAUAUAUAUGUAUCUCAAUGGAUUCUCUUUUGGACGAUUUGCGAUUUGACUUGGCGAAUUUCGAUGUUGAGCGAGUUUCAGCUUAACUUUUCGUUUACAAUUUCCAAGGAGUCAUGUCCAUCGAUCUGUUAAAAACAUCCUAUUUCAAACAUUGCAAAGCAAGCUUGAAGGUAUUACUCAGAUGAUUGGUCAAAAAACAUUGCAAAGCAAUUCAAAAGUUGAAUUCAGAAAGAUUCUUAAGACGAAUGCCCGAACUGAAGAAUAAUUGAUUUGGCCAUAAAGAAGAGCAGUUUGAUUGGUGGAGAUGACUUUAAGAGUGGUCAGACCAAGAUGAAAUCUAUGCUGGUUGAUUUCCUUAUUGGGAAUGGGAUCAAGCCAACACAAUUGUGCUAGACAGCACAUGCAAGGACUUACUCCUGGCUACACCCAUCACCUUGGAUUUAGUGCUCCUUGUUGAACUCAGCACCAGGAUCCAGCUCAAAGCUGAAGAUGAGGGGAAGUUCCAUUCCUUCCACCUUGUGGCUACCAUUCUCAAUUACCUUGCCAAGGCCCCUCUUGUAAGUCCAAUGCAUCAACUUCUUAAAUAUUUCAAAGGU